rnacentral:rRNA from 1 species
CCCACCCGUUCCCAUCCCGAACACGGAAGUUAAGCUCUUUUGCGCCGAUGGUAGUUGGGGGUCUCCCCCUGUGAGAGUAGGACGUCGCUGGGC